UGCUAAUAUCAGAUCGAAAUUGAUGUUAUACACAAGAGUAGGCUGUCUGUUUGGAUCAGGAAUAAGGAAAUGAGACCGGAAUUAACUGACAGAACCAAACGUCCUUGUCAAACCGCUUCAACCAACUGUAAGUGUUGCACUGAUCAUGUAAUGGCAACAGAAAAAAAAGGAAGGGCUUCCAAAGUUCCUAACAGUGAUAAUAACAUAGAUCCUGAUGAACUGUGGUUACGGCGAAGACUUCCACGACACUUGCCAAAGCGUAACAAUGAUGUCUAUGUAAAUAACUACUCUAACUUUAAGGGACAAGAAGCACGAGCACUAAACCUUUUGCAUGAAAGUGGAUGGGUUGUGCUACAUGGUCUGGGUUCAGCAGUGCCACGUGCUAUCAAUCUAGCCCUCUGUCUCCAAGUUGCAGCGAGAGGACCUGCAAUAAUUGAUACGCGUACUUCAACUGUUUACCUAUCAGAUGAUAUUGAACCCACAUUUGAUGGGGGUGACCAAGAAUAUCAUACGAAAGGAAAUGCUGCUGUCCACAUUAAAGUUACCCUAAAGCAAAAUAUAACUAAGGAAUCAGCUACUCCAGAUAAAAGCAAAGCUGCUACUUGAGUGUGGCAAACGAGUUUGAAUAUUGAAAAAAAUCUCAAUAUGAAAUAAGUGUCAAUAUCAGAGAAGAUUGAGCUUUAAAGUACACUUUUUGAUGCAGAAAUACCAUUAAAAUCAGAUAUAUUUAUAUUUGUAAAUUAUUUUGUUAUAUUAAGAGCUAGAAGUAUUUUGCAAAAUGUUUUUUUCCUUGUGGGAACUAACCAUGUGGCUUGGUGUCACAGUUCUGGAGAUGUUCAUAUGGCUCACAGCCGUGUUGAUCACACUUGUCUUGGUGGUCCUGCGAGUAGAAGAGGUGAUGCCGCGAAUGAGUUGGUGGGUUGUCCUCUCCCCCAUGUUCAUCGCUGAUGCUCUCAAUACGUACUUUUGUGUCAUUGUCCUCAUUAGAAUGUACCUGAAUGGUGUGCUCAAACCAGCCGCAUUACGAGCACUUUGGAGUUUUUCUGUACUUACAUUAGGUUUUAUUUUUAAAUUUCUCUUGUGUAAAAAGUUGGUGAAACCCACUGAGUUCGAAUAUUCUGCUGUAAUGUCACCUGUGUUUAUUCUCCUACAGUUGAUCAUGAUAAGAGCAUGUCACCUUAAUUAAUUUGUAAUAUUCUCUCUCAUGUUUUAAUGAAUAAGUAAAUUAGUUUACAAAGAAUAUAAAAAAAAAUUGAUAGUAUGUCUCCUAAUGAUUUACUGCAUAAAUAAAUAUUGUGCAACUUGAA